AAAUUGAAGAGUUUGAUCAUGGCUCAGAUUGAACGCUGGCGGCAGGCCUAACACAUGCAAGUCGAACGGUAACAGGAAGCAGCUUGCUGCUUUGCUGACGAGUGGCGGACGGGUGAGUAAUGUCUGGGAAACUGCCUGAUGGAGGGGGAUAACUACUGGAAACGGUGGCUAAUACCGCAUAACGUCGCAAGACCAAAGAGGGGGACCUUCGGGCCUCUUGCCAUCAGAUGUGCCCAGAUGGGAUUAGCUUGUUGGUGAGGUAACGGCUCACCAAGGCGACGAUCCCUAGCUGGUCUGAGAGGAUGACCAGCCACACUGGAACUGAGAAACGGUCCAGACUCCUACGGGAGGCAGCAGUGGGGAAUAUUGCACAAUGGGCGCAAGCCUGAUGCAGCCAUGCCGCGUGUAUGAAGAAGGCCUUCGGGUUGUAAAGUACUUUCAGCGGGGAGGAAGGUGUUG
rnacentral:rRNA from 1 species